CUCCCGAGUGUAGCAGUCCGCGGGGGAAACGCUGAUAACGCGUGCGUUGUUCAUGCGUGGACCACGCGUACAAAUUGUGCUUCCUGUUUGCUUUUGCUGCUGUGAGCGGUUUCCUGUUUUAGUGGAGUGCGGCGCCGUAUGCAGUGUGUGAAAGAGCACGUGUUCCGUCCAGUCUGACGGCGUUUCGAGAAACUGUUCCGUGUGGAAUGAUGAGAUUGGCCUGGUACCACUAGAAGGGACAACGGACUUCUUCGCCAUCGAGGAUUCUCAUUUUGAUCUUCGGUUCAAGUAUCCACAAUACUAACAGGAGAGCAUAAAAAGUGAGAGAUCCCGUUGUGACUCCCCUGGUUUGAACGCGUGGUGUCUCGUGGGUGAGCUGCUGCAUGGGCUCGGGUAUCGGCAGCGGCAGCUGAUUGCCGGGAUUAUCUUUGCGGGGAAACUAGGCAUCGCUGAAAUAAUAAAUUCAAGAAGUGGAGAACAAGGUGUACGGUAAGCACGUUCCUCGGAGUACAACACAACAACAACAACAACAACAACAACAACAACAAAUAAGUGAUGAUGACGCAACAAAUUCCGUCUCGUGGGUCAAGAAAAGUAGGGCUUUCCUUUGUGAUCUGCGGAAGAAGCUGCCCGUGACCCCUGAAAUGGCCUACGCUAAAUACGACACUUCAGUUCCAACGGGUUCCCGCACAGAACGUUCAUCGACAGGAAAGAUAGAAGAAAAAUAUGUGUCUCUUCUACGCUAUCUCAUCGACAUAAUAUCGGAACCCUGCGUUCCACAAAGAAAAACUCGAUGUACAGCAGGAUGUAACUUAUUCAAACCAUGGCUGCCAUCCAAUCGGUGCAAGACUCCGUCCGCAUUGAUCAUCUUCUGGUUCUCGACUAUUUCACACAAGCCGUCAUUGUAGGUCAUGAAUUUCAAAGCACAAUGCUUUUUGAGCGCGACGCCAUCGGGUACCAUUAAAAAAAGAAAAAGAAUGUCGCGACAUGA